AGUCGAACGAUGAAAGAGGGAGCUUGCUCCUUCUGGAUUAGUGGCGAACGGGUGAGUAACACGUGAGCAAUCUGCCCUUGACUCUGGGAUAAGCGUUGGAAACGACGUCUAAUACCGGAUACGACCCUCGGAGGCAUCUCCUGGGGGUGGAAAGAAUUUUGGUCAAGGAUGAGCUCGCGGCCUAUCAGCUAGUUGGUGAGGUAAUGGCUCACCAAGGCGACGACGGGUAGCCGGCCUGAGAGGGUGACCGGCCACACUGGGACUGAGACACGGCCCAGACUCCUACGGGAGGCAGCAGUGGGGAAUAUUGCACAAUGGGCGAAAGCCUGAUGCAGCAACGCCGCGUGAGGGAUGACGGCCUUCGGGUUGUAAACCUCUUUUAGUAGGGAAGAAGCGAAAGUGACGGUACCUGCAGAAAAAGCACCGGCUAACUACGUGCCAGCAGCCGCGGUAAUACGUAGGGUGCAAGCGUUGUCCGGAAUUAUUGGGCGUAAAGAGCUCGUAGGCGGUUUGUCGCGUCUGCUGUGAAAUCUGGGGGCUCAACCCCCAGCCUGCAGUGGGUACGGGCAGACUAGAGUGCGGUAGGGGAGAUUGGAAUUCCUGGUGUAGCGGUGGAAUGCGCAGAUAUCAGGAGGAACACCGAUGGCGAAGGCAGAUCUCUGGGCCGUAACUGACGCUGAGGAGCGAAAGCAUGGGGAGCGAACAGGAUUAGAUACCCUGGUAGUCCAUGCCGUAAACGUUGGGAACUAGAUGUGGGGACCAUUCCACGGUCUCCGUGUCGCAGCUAACGCAUUAAGUUCCCCGCCUGGGGAGUACGGCCGCAAGGCUAAAACUCAAAGGAAUUGACGGGGGCCCGCACAAGCGGCGGAGCAUGCGGAUUAAUUCGAUGCAACGCGAAGAACCUUACCAAGACUUGACAUAUACGAGAACGCUGCAGAAAUGUAGAACUCUUUGGACACUCGUAAACAGGUGGUGCAUGGUUGUCGUCAGCUCGUGUCGUGAGAUGUUGGGUUAAGUCCCGCAACGAGCGCAACCCUCGUCCUAUGUUGCCAGCACGUAAUGGUGGGAACUCAUGGGAUACUGCCGGGGUCAACUCGGAGGAAGGUGGGGAUGACGUCAAAUCAUCAUGCCCCUUAUGUCUUGGGCUUCACGCAUGCUACAAUGGCCGGUACAAAGGGCUGCGAUACCGUAAGGUGGAGCGAAUCCCAAAAAGCCGGUCUCAGUUCGGAUUGAGGUCUGCAACUCGACCUCAUGAAGUCGGAGUCGCUAGUAAUCGCAGAUCAGCAACGCUGCGGUGAAUACGUUCCCGGGCCUUGUACACACCGCCCGUCAAGUCAUGAAAGUCGGUAACACCCGAAGCCGGUGGCCUAACCCCU
rnacentral:rRNA from 2 species